rnacentral:rRNA from 1 species
AUUACAGAAAUAUGCAGCCGGACUGGGAUAGGGCCUCGCUGCCUUGCCCGCCUGGCGCCAUAUUCACCCAUGUCUUUUUGCGUACUACUUGUUUCCUUGGCGGGUCCGCCCGCCAAUUGGACCUUAUUCAAACCUUUUUUUCAGUUGCAAUCAGCGUCAGCAAAACAAAUGUAAUCAAUUACAACUUUCAACAACGGAUCUCUUGGUUCUGGCAUCGAUGAAGAACGCAGCGAAAUGCGAUAAGUAGUGUGAAUUGCAGAAUUCAGUGAAUCAUCGAAUCUUUGAACGCACAUUGCGCCCUUUGGUAUUCCAAAGGGCAUGCCUGUUCGAGCGUCAUUUGUACCCUCAAGCUUUGCUUGGUGUUGGGCGUCUUGUCUCUCUCCCGAGACUCGCCUUAAAAUCAUUGGCAGCCGGCCUACUGGUUUCGGAGCGCAGCACAUUAUUUGCGCUCUUGUCCAGCCGCGGUCGCGCGUCCAUGAAGCUUCUUUCAACCUUUUGACCUCGGAUCAGGUAGG